UCAAGUUAUUAAGGGUGCAGGGCGGAUGCCUUGGCACUAGGAGCCGAUGAAGGACGUGAUAAGCUGCGAUAAGCUUCGGGGAGUUGCACGUAAACUUUGAUCCGAAGAUUUCCGAAUGAGGAAACUCACUUAGAGUAAUGUCUAAGUAUCAUUAAGUGAAUACAUAGCUUAAUGAGGGGAACUCAGGGAACUGAAACAUCUAAGUACCUGAAGGAAGAGAAAGAAAUUCGAUUCCGUAAGUAGCGGCGAGCGAACGCGGAUUAGCCCAAACCAAUAAAGUUUUCUUUAUUGGGGUUGCGGACAUAUCAUAACGAAGAGGUAUCGUAAUUGAAGAGGUUUGGAAAGACCCACCACAGAAGGUAAUAGUCCUGUAUGUUAAACGAGAAGACUUUAGAUAUGAUCCAGAGUACCACGGGACACGUGAAACCCUGUGGGAAGCAGGAGGGACCACCCUCCAAGGCUAAAUACUACCUAGUGACCGAUAGCGUAUAGUACCGUGAGGGAAAGGUGAAAAGAACCCCGGGAGGGGAGUGAAAUAGAACCUGAAACCCUGCACUUACAAGCUGUGGAAGCACAUUUCUUGUGUGACCGCGUACUUUUUGUAGAACGGGCCAACGAGUUACGUUAAGUAGCAAGGUUAAGCACUUAAGGUGCGGAGCCGUAGCGAAAGCGAGUUUUAACUGAGCGUUCAGUUACUUGACGUAGACCCGAAACCGGGCGACCUACCCAUGAGCAGGAUGAAGCGAAAGUAAAAUUUCGUGGAGGUCCGAACCCACGAGCGUUGAAAAGCUCGGGGAUGACUUGUGGGUAGCGGUGAAAUUCCAAUCGAGCCCGGAGAUAGCUGGUUCUCCCCGAAAUAGCUUUAGGGCUAGCCUCAAGGUGAGAGAUACGGAGGUAGAGCACUGAAUGUCCUAGGGGGUAUUGCACCUACCGAAGACUAUCAAACUCCGAAUGCCGUCAUCUUAUACUUGGGAGUCAGACUGUGGGUGAUAAGAUUCAUAGUCGAAAGGGCAACAGCCCAGAUCGUCAGCUAAGGUCCCUAAAUGUAAGUUAAGUGGUAAAGGAUGUGGGAUUGCACAGACAACCAGGAUGUUGGCUUAGAAGCAGCCACUCAUUCAAAGAGUGCGUAAUAGCUCACUGGUCGAGUGAUCCUGCGCCGAAGAUUUCCGGGGCUAAAACUUACUACCGAAGCUACGGCAUCAGUAAUGAUGGGUAGGGGAGCUUCCCAUACGGGUUGAAGCAUGACCGUAAGGACAUGUGGACAGUAUGGGAGUGAGAAUGUUGGCAUGAGUAGCGAGAUGUGGGUGAGAAUCCCACAGGCCGUAAACCCAAGGUUUCCAGGGGAAGGUUCGUCCGCCCUGGGUUAGUCGGGACCUAAGCUGAGGCCGAAAGGCGUAGGUGAUGGACAACAGGUUGAUAUUCCUGUACUACCGAUAACCGUUUGAGAGAAGGGAUGACACAGUAGGAUAAGCUAAGCACACUGUUGGUUAUGUGUGCCCAAGCAUUGAGGCAGUCAAAGUAGGCAAAUCCGCUUUGAUAAUGCUGGGAUGUGAUGGGGAGCGAAAUUUAGUAGCGAAGUAGCUGAUUUCACACUGUCAAGAAAAGUCUCUAUCGAGGUUAAAGGUACCCGUACCGCAAACCGACACAGGUGGGUGAGGAGAGUAUCCUAAGGCCAGCGAGAGAACUGUUGUUAAGGAACUCGGCAAAAUGACCCCGUAACUUAGGGAUAAGGGGUGCCACCAUCAGGUGGCCGCAGAGAAUAGGCCCAAGCGACUGUUUACCAAAAACAUAGGUUUCUGCUAAGUCGCAAGACGAUGUAUAGGAGCUGACGCCUGCCCGGUGCUGGAAGGUUAAGGGGAUCUGUUAGAGCAAUCGAAGCAGUGAACUUAAGCCCCAGUAAACGGCGGCCGUAACUAUAACGGUCCUAAGGUAGCGAAAUUCCUUGUCGGGUAAGUUCCGACCCGCACGAAAGGCGUAACGAUUUGGGCACUGUCUCAACAACAGACUCGGUGAAAUUGUAAUUCCGGUGAAGAUGCCGGAUACCUGCGACAGGACGGAAAGACCCCAUGGAGCUUUACUGUAGCUUGACAUUGGGUCUUGGUACUACAUGUACAGGAUAGGUGGGAGGCUUUGAAACCAGGACGCCAGUUUUGGCGGAGCCAUCCUUGGGAUACCACCCUUGUAGUACUGGGACUCUAACCAUAGGCCAUGAAUCUGGUCUUGGGACACUGUCAGGUGGGCAGUUUGACUGGGGCGGUCGCCUCCCAAAAGGUAACGGAGGCGCUCAAAGGUUCUCUCAGUACGGUCGGAAAUCGUACGUAGAGUGUAAAGGCAAAAGAGAGCUUGAUUGCAAGACAUACAGGUCGAGCAAGGAUGAAAAUCGGACUUAGUGAUCCGGUGGUUCUGCGUGGAAGGGCCAUCGCUCAACGGAUAAAAGCUACCCUGGGGAUAACAGGCUUAUCUCCCCCAAGAGUCCACAUCGACGGGGAGGUUUGGCACCUCGAUGUCGGCUCAUCACAUCCUGGGGCUGUAGUAGGUCCCAAGGGUUGGGCUGUUCGCCCAUUAAAGUGGUACGCGAGCUGGGUUCAGAACGUCGUGAGACAGUUCGGUCCCUAUCCGUCGCAGGCGUAGGAAAUUUGAGAAGACCUGUUCUUAGUACGAGAGGACCGGGAUGGACGUACCUCUGGUGUACCAGUUGUUCUGCCAAGGGCAUGGCUGGGUAGCUAUGUACGGAAUGGAUAAGCGCUGAAAGCAUCUAAGCGCGAAGCCAACUUCAAGAUAAGAUUUCCCACCGCAAGGGUAAGACCCCAGAAAGACUAUCUGGUUGAUAGGUCGAAGGUGUAAGUGCAGCAAUGUAUUUAGCUUAUCGAUACUAAUAGGUCGAGGACUUGACCAA
rnacentral:rRNA from 1 species